rnacentral:rRNA from 1 species
CCUACGGGAGGCAGCAGUGGGGAAUAUUGCGCAAUGGGCGAAAGCCUGACGCAGCGACGCCGCGUGAGGGAUGAAGGUCUUCGGAUCGUAAACCUCUGUCAGCCGGGAAGCACGGUCACUGUGCUAAUCAGCAGUGAAUUGACGGUACCUGCAAAGGAAGCACCGGCUAACUCCGUGCCAGCAGCCGCGGUCAUACGGAGGGUGCGUGCGUUAAUCGGAAUUACUGGGCGUAAAGCGCUCGUAGGCGGUAGGUCAAGUCAAGGGGGAAAUCCCCGCGCUCAACGUGGGAACUGCCGUUGAAACUGGCAAACUGGAGUGUGUGAGAGGAUAGUGGAAUGCCAGGUGUAGGAGUGAAAUCCGUAGAUAUCUGGAGGAACAUCAGUGGCGAAGGCGACUAUCUGGCACAUAACUGACGCUGAGGAGCGAAAGCGUGGGUAGCAAACAGGAUUAGAUACCCGAGUAGUC